rnacentral:rRNA from 1 species
CCCUUAGAUGUCCUGGGCCGCACGCGUGCUGCACUGAUGCAUACAGCGAGUACUUUCCAGCUCCGCGAGGCAGCUGGUAAUCAGCAAUAUGCAUCGUGCUGGGGAUAGAUCUUUGGAAUUAUAGAUCUUGAACGAGGAAUUCCUAGUAAGCGCAAGUCAUUAGCUUGCGCUGAUUAAGUCCCUGCCCUUUGUACACACCGCCCGUCGCUCCUACCGAUUUCGAGUGAUUCGGUGAACCUUUUGGACAGCGUCUGUCCUCGUGUCAGAUGCUGAAAGUCAAGUAAACCAUAUCACUUAGAGGAAGGAGAAGUCGUAACA